CUUUGACCAGAGAGACAUCUCCAGGCUCCUACACCUGUACCAGCAAGGAGAAACAAUCGCCUACAACAAUCUCCCCAAUGCAGAAUCCCUAAAAACCUCAGACUACUUCCGCUACCUGCAACUGAGGGACCUAGUCCAUCAGCCCAUGAUCAAACAAGCGGGAACAUCACCCCCGACACCAUUCGAAAAACAAUGCUUCGAUGCACAAAUACACUCUGGACAAGCCUCCAAC